ACCGGCUGAAAAAUCACCCAUGUCUCUGGAUAUGGAGUUGGAUGAAAUUCAGUGCCCGGGAUCAGUGUGGCCUCAGCUUACUACCUGCUCUGCAGUGUGGGGAGGUGAAAUCCAGGCCCUACCAUAC
ensembl:snoRNA